ensembl:lncRNA NCAM1-AS1 NCAM1 antisense RNA1
CUCUCUGCCUUAUCCCAGCCCCUUGGUUGACGGUCGCCUCAGAGAAGCCCUGGAUGAGGCUGAAGACACAUCUAACAAGGAGGACACAGCACAGCACAAAUGCACACCACCACAGGACACAACCCGAUGACAGCAGACAAAGAGAGGCCGUACUCGGUCUUUGCUGGCGCAGGCGAAACAGAGCUGUCUGCAGUGGAAGGAGCAAGCUCAGGGGCUUGUCCACUGGCCCCAGCGGCGGGAGCAGGAGAGCCCAGGGCUGCAAAAACAUCCUUUGCAAGGGUUCCAAAUGGAGAACGUGCAAUGAAAGGAAAGGCACCAGCUGAUGGCGCAGGGUGGUGCAGCUGCUGGGUCCCUGGGCUGGAGCAGAGCCCAAACCUCAGCAAGGUGGACAGGUCUGCACUCACGAGAAGGCGGCCUUGCCCUCCUCCAUGUCCUUGCCCUUGGCCCCGGGCCCGGCUUUUCCACACAGGUUGACCGCAAUGCACAUGAACAGGCCACACUUGUUCAGGAAGUAGCAGGUGAUGUCCACAACCACCAGGAGCAGGACGAAGAUGACGAUGAGGAUGCCCACGAUGGCCCCGGUGCUCAGGCCUGAGGUGGGGCUGCCGUUGGCUUGAGUGGGAGAGAGAUGGCUGGUGGUUAACAGACUGAGAUGCGAGACCUCCAGACCCUGCCAGCAAAAGCCCCUGCGGGUGGGGAGGGCCCAGAGGACAGAGUCAUGGCAUUCAUGCCCAGAGUGACACCUUCCUGGGGACCUUCUAUGCCCCAGAAUUGAGAAAACAGGGUCUUUCUAUACCUUCCAGAGGGAGGGAUGACAACAUCAUCUCACAGAUUGGGGAACAGGGGUGAGCCUGGUCAGCUGGCCUCCCGUGAGUCCUGGGAGCAGACUGAGCCCCGCCUGUCUGAGAACACCGGAUAAUGAGGCAGUUGGAGGGCGCUGCUGUGUUUCCCCUGGACCAGGGCAAAAGGCUUUGCAGCACAGGCAGGCAGUGAUCACUGAUUUCAGGCGGGGCUGUGGCUCCUCAAGUGCUCAGGGAUAGGGGCCCAAAAUGGGGUGGUGGAGGGUUCCUGGGGCUUUCUU